rnacentral:rRNA from 1 species
GAUGAACGCUGGCGGCGUGCUUAACACAUGCAAGUCGAGCGAAGCACUUUAUUUGAUUUCCUUCGGGACUGAUUAUUUUGUGACUGAGUGGCGGACGGGUGAGUAACGCGUGGGUAACCUGCCUUGUACAGGGGGAUAACAGUUGGAAACGGCUGCUAAUACCGCAUAAGCGCACAGCAUCGCAUGAUGCAGUGUGAAAAACUCCGGUGGUAUAAGAUGGACCCGCGUUGGAUUAGCUAGUUGGUGAGGUAACGGCCCACCAAGGCGACGAUCCAUAGCCGACCUGAGAGGGUGACCGGCCACAUUGGGACUGAGACACGGCCCAAACUCCUACGGGGGGCAGCAGUGGGGAAUAUUGCACAAUGGGCGAAAGCCUGAUGCAGCGACGCCGCGUGAGCGAAGAAGUAUUUCGGUAUGUAAAGCUCUAUCAGCAGGGAAGAUAAUGACGGUACCUGACUAAGAAGCACCGGCUAAAUACGUG